GUGAGGAAUAUUGGGCAAUGGGCGAAAGCCUGACCCAGCCACGCCGCGUGAGUGAUGAAGGCCUUCGGGUUGUAAAGCUCUGUGGGGAGGGAAGAAAAAGCGGGAGAGUAACUGCUCUCGUGUUGACGGUACCUCCUUAGCAAGCACCGGCUAACUCUGUGCCAGCAGCCGCGGUAAUACAGAGGGUGCAAAUGUUGCUCGGAAUUACUGGGCGUAAAGCGCGUGUAGGCUGACAUGCAAGUCGGGUGUGAAAUCCCAGGGCUCAACCUUGGAACUGCACUCGAAACUGCACGUCUUGAGUACUGGAGAGGGAAGCGGAAUUCCGGGUGUAGAGGUGAAAUUCGUAGAUAUCCGGAGGAACACCAGUGGCGAAGGCGGCUUCCUGGACAGUAACUGACGCUGAGACGCGAAAGCGUGGGGAGCAAACAGGAUUAGAAACCCUUGUAGUCC
rnacentral:rRNA from 1 species